rnacentral:rRNA from 1 species
CCUUGUACACACCGCCCGUCACGGCAUGGGAGUUGGUUUUACCCGAAGACGGUGCGCUAACCGCAAGGAGGCAGCCGGCCACGGAGUGGUCCAUGACUGGGGUG